UAGAGUACAGUGGUGCAAUCUCUGCCCACUGCAAGCUCUGUCUCUUGGUUUCAAGUGUGAUUUUCCUGCCUCAGCCUCCUGAGUAGCUGGGACUACAGGUGUGUGCCACCAUGCCUGGCUAAUUUUUGCAGAGAUGGGGUUUCACUGUGUUGGCCAGGCUGGUCUUGGCAACUGCUGGCCUCAAGUGAUCCACCCGCCUUGGCCUCCCAAAGUACUGGGAUUACAGGCAUGAGUCACUGUGCCUGCCUGUAGGUAUAUAUAUUUAUAGGGUAUAUUAGAUGUUUUAAUACAGGCAUACAAUGUAGAAUAUGCACAUCAUGGAGAAUGGGGUAUCCAUCCCCUCAAGCAUUUAUCCCCUAGGGAUAUUAACAUGAUUAUUUCUUAGUUUGAUCUCAUAAAUAUUUUCAGAAUAUUAAAUUUAAUAUUACAAACAAUGUAAUGACUUGCGUUACUUCAUUUGGGCUGUUAUACCAAAAUACCAUAAACUAGGUAAAUUAUAAGCAACAGAAAUUGAUUUAUCACAGUUUUGGAAGCUGGGAAGUCAAGGCACUGGCAGACUUGAUGUCUGGUGAGGGCCCACUUCCUGGUUCAUAGACUGUGCCUCUCAUUGUGUCCUUAUAUGGUGGAAAGGGCAAAGAUACUCCCUUAGCCUCUUUUGUAAGGACACAAAUCCCAUUCACUCGGGUGAAGCCAUGAUCAUUUCCUAAGGUCCCACCUUUUAAUACCAUCACAUUGAGGUUUAGAUUUCAGAACAUGAGUUUUGGGAGCCACAAAGAUUCAGACCCUAGAAUCACUGAAAAUAGUUUGCAAGAAGUUCUUUUUGUCCUUCAGGUAUAUUCCUCUAAGAAUAUGUGGUCUGAUUUUUAUGCUUUAAAAUCACUUGAAAUAAUUGUUUUAUCUAUGUUAAUGUUGCCAAUUCAGUACAAAAUCUAGGUUAAUUUAUUUUAUCUUGCUUUAAGCUUUUAGAAGUUUUUUGCUUAAAAUUUAUUCUGUAAUCUUAUAAAACACAUACAGCAUUCAAAAAUCAAGUAAGUCCAGCAUCUAUCUCACCCCUUUUACCCUGUUUAUACCCUACCUCUCCACAUUGCUUUGUUUUAAAGGGGUGUGUGUGGGGUGUGUGUGUGUGUGUGUGUGUGUGUGUGUGUGGUGUGUGUACUUAUAUUCUCUUUCUUCCUUGGAUAAGUGGCAUCAUCCCAUGGAUAUUUUUCUCCAUUUUGCUUUUCUCAUUUAACAGUACUUUUAGAGACAUCUUCAUAGUGAUAAAGAUACUCUUUAUUCCAUUUUACAGCUACAUGGUAUGACAUGAUACUACAUUGUAUGAAUGUACUUAUAUUUAUUUAGCUAGUUUCCUAUUUAUGAAUAUGGGGUCAUUUUUAUUUUUUGUUAUUACAGAUUGUGCUGCAAUAGCUAUACAAAUAUGAUUUUUAAUAUUUUCUGAUUAACAAUAAUGAAGCUAGUGUGUUGUUUGGAUGUAUUUCUAGAAGUUGGUUUGCUGGGUUAAAGGGUAAAUAUAUAUGAAAUCCUGAUGGAUAUUGCUUUUUUUGUUGUUAUUAUACUUUAAGUUGUUGGGUACAUGUGCAGAACAUGCAGGUUUGUUAUAUAGUUAUACAUGUGCCAUGGUGGUUUGCUGCAUCCAUCAUUCUGUGAUCUACAUUAGGUAUUUCUCCUAAUGCUAUCCCUGCCCUAUCCACCCCCGCCCUCGCUAUCCCUCAUCUACUUCUCCAUCCCCCACAACAGGCCCCGGUGUGUGACGUUACCCUCCCUGUGUCCAUAUGUUCUCAUUGUUCAACACCCACUUAUGAGUGAGAACAUGCAGUGUUUGAUUUUCUGUUCCUGUGUUAGUUUGCUGAGAAUGAUGGUUUCCAGCUUUAUCCAUGUCCCUGCAAAAGACAUGAACUCAUCCUUUUUUAUGGCUGCAUAGUAUCCCAUAGUGUAUAGGUGCCACAUUUUCUUUAUCCAGUCUAUCAUUGAUGGGCAUUUGGUUGGUUUUUUUCUUUGCUGUUGUGAACGGUGCCACAAUAAACAUACAUGUGCAUGUGUCUUUAUAACAGAAUGAUUUGUAAUCCUUUGGUUAUAUAUCCAGUAAUGGGAUUGCUGGGUCAAAUAGUAUUUCUAUUUCUAGAUCCUUGAGGAAUCGCCUCACUGUCUACAAUGGUUGAACUAAUUUUCACUCCCACCAAUAGUGUAAAAGUUUUCCUAUUUCUCCACAUCCUCCCCAGCAUUUGUUGUCUCCAGAUUUUUUAAUGAUCACCAUUCUAACUGGCAUGAGAUGGUAUCUCAAUGUGGUUUUGAUUUGCAUUUCUUGAAUGACCAAGGAUGAUGAGCUUUUUUUCAUAUGUUUGUUGGCUGUAUAAAUGUCUUCUUUUGAGAAGUGUCUGUUCAUAUCCUUUGCCCACUUUUCCAUGGGGUUGAUUUUUUCUUGUAAAUUUGUUUAGGUUCUUUAUAGAUCCUGGAUAUUAGCCCUUUGUCAGAUGGGUAGCUUGCAGAAAUAUUUUCCCAUUCUGUUGGUUGUUGGUUCACUCUAAUGAUUGUUUCUUUUGCUGUAUAGAAGAGCUGGAGUUUAAUUAGAUCCCAUUUGUUUAUUUUGGCUUUUGCUGCCAUUGCUUUUGGUGUCUUAGUCAUGAAGUCCUUCCUACGCCUAUCUCCUGAAUGGUAUUGCCUAGGUUUUCUUCUAGGGUUUUCAUGAUGUUAGGUCUUAUGUUUAAAUCUUUAAUCCAUCUUGAGUUAAUUUUCGUAUAAGGUGUAAGGAAGGAAUCCAGUUUCAGCUUUCUGCAUGUGGCUAGCCAGUUUUCCCAACACCAUUUAUGAAAUAGGGAAUCCUUUCCCCAUUGCUUGUUUUUGUCAGGUUCGUCAAAGAUCAGAUGGUUGUAGAUGUGUGGUGUUGCCUCCGAGGCCUCUGUUCUGUUUCAUUGGUCUGUAUCUCUGUUUUGGUACCAGUGCCAUGCUGUUUUGAAGUCACAUAGUGUAAUGCCUCCAGCUUUGUUUUUUUGUUUUUUUUUUUUGAGACGAGUUUUGCUCUUGUUACCCAGGCUGGAGUGCAAUGGCGCAAUCUUGGCUCACCGCAACCUCCGCCUCCUGGGUUCAGGCAAUUCUCCUGCCUCAGCCUCCCGAGUAGCUGGGACUACAGGCACGCGCCACUAUGCCCAGCUAAUUUUUUGUAUUUUUAGUAGAGCCGGGGUUUCGCCAUGUUGACCAAGAGGGUCUUGAUCUCUUGACCUCAUGAUCCACCCGCCUCGGCCUCCCAAAGUGCUGGCAUUACAGGCGUGAGCCACUGCACCCGGCCCAAUCCUGGUUCUAUCACAUACUCGCUAAAGGACCUUGGCAAAGUAAUUGACUCUCUGUGAAUCUCUCUUAAGGCUAUUCAGGCUAACUAGUAUUUAGUUACCUAUGUUUUAAAAAUUAACUAUGUAGGCCAGCCACAGUGGCUCAUGCCUGCAAUCCCAGCACUUUGGGAUGCCGAAGCAGGACGAACUGAGGUUGAGAGUUCGAGACCAGCCUGACCAACAUGGUCUUGAACUAUUUUUAAUAGACCAUCUCUAUUAAAAAUAUAAAAUUAGUCAGGCGCAGUAGCUCACGCCUGUAAUCCCAGCACUUUGGGAGGCAGAGGUGGGUGGAUCGCAAGGUCAGACAUUCAAGACCAGCCUGGCCAACAUGGUGAAACCCCACCUCUACUGAAAAUACCAAAAAAAAAUUAGCCAGGUGUGGUGACAAGCACCUAUAAUCCCAGCUACUUGGGAGGCUGAGGCAGGGGAAUCGCAUGAACCUGGCAAGCGGAGGUUGCAAUGAGCCCUGAUCGUGCCACUGCACUCCAGCCUGGGCAACAGAGCAAGACUCCAUCUCAAAAACAAACAAACAAACAAAAAAUAAAAUUAGCCAGGCAUGGUGGUGCAUGCCUGUAAUCCCAGCUACUCGGGAGGCUGAGGCAGGAGAAUUGCUUGAACCUGGGAGGUGGAGGUUGCAGUGAGCUAAGCUCAUGCCACUGCACUCUAGCCUGGGCAACAAGACCGAGACUCCAUCUCAAAAAAAAAAAAAAAAAAGCUAACCAUGUAGGCAUACAGUCUACACAUUUGAAUAUUCAUUAAAGCAUGAUGGGGAUGGGACACAAAUUGACCAAAUUCUUCUUUCUCUUCAAUAAAUCUUUAUUAAAAUAUAUCAUAGUUCAGGUCUUAUACUAGUUAAUGAAGAGACAAAGAUGAAAAAGAUAUCUCAAGAAAUAUUGAAAAAGUUUCCAUAAAUAUUAUUAUCAAACCAGGAAAAUAAUAUGUAGUGUGUCAGCUUGCUGUCAUUUGAAUUAAAUCUUGCAUGGACCUCAUAAUUCUCAAAUUUUUCUUGAGUUCCUUCAUUUGGUGUUUGGUUUGUAAAGCACUUGAAUACCAUUUCAAAACCACCAUUCUAAACGUGGCUUUGCAGUUCUAAUAGGAAACUAUACAAAAGUCCUUAAGUGUGACGAUUCCAACUUGCUAUUAUUUUAUGCAACACUCUUAAAGAGCUUAAGGUGAAUCAGUGUCCCUCCUGGUGAAGAGGUCUGGCUUUAUAUCAGACAAGCUUGAGUUCUCAUUCUCACCCACUUACUGGUUGUAUGGUCUUGGUAAAGCUCCUUAAACUGUUUAUGCCUCAGUUCUCUCAUCUGUAAAUUAAGGUAAUGAAAGCACUUAAAUUAAAGAGUUUUUAUGAGUUCACGUGAUACUUGAGAUGUAAAGCAUUUAACUCAUAAAAGCUCAAUAAAUUAUUGACAAUUGUAAAUAGAUACAAAAUCUUCAAAUAUAAUCAGCCCUUGGGACUCAUGGAGCAUUGGUUCUAGGACCUCCAUUGGAUAUCAAAAUCCAAAGUUGUUUGGACAGUGGUUACAUUAAAAGCUCAUAUUUCACCGCUACAUAAUACAUUCAUGAAACAAAAUUGUACUUGCUGUAUCUCUUAAAUCUGUACAAAAAAAAUCAGAGGAUGCUCAAGUCUCUGAUACAAAAUGGUACAGUGUUUUCAUAUAACCUAUGUCCAUCCUUCUGUAUGCUUUAAUUUAUCUCUAGGUUACUUAUACUACCUAAUACACUGUAAAUGCUAUGUAAAUAGUUGUUAUACUGUGUUGUUCAGGGAAUAGUGACAAGAAAACUCUGUACAUAUUCAGUGCAGACAUCAUUUUUAAAAAUAUUUUUAUUGCAGUUGAUUGAAUCCAUGAAUGCAGAAUCCACAGAUAUAGCGGGCUGAUGGUACUUAUGUUUUUUCAAAUUCAGAAACAUUCUAUUUACCUUUAAUCUAUUUUAUUUGUUUUGCUUUGUUCUCAAUGCUGAAGUUUUCACCACUUUGCACUCUAGUCUCACACCUUCUCAGGGAGAACUGAGUUGUUUUUGUUCCUUUAUUAUUGAAAGACAAGCUAAAUAGUGUGGUCUGGAGUAGCCUCACACAGCAAAUUUUUCCUGGCCUGGCUCUGUCACAUUGAGAUUGCAGGAUCUUAUUCGUACAAAGAUUCAAUCUUUCUCUCUUUCUUUCCUUUUUUUUUUUUGAGAUGGAGUCUCGCUCUGUCAUCCAGGCUGGAGUGCAGUGGCAUGAACUUGGCUUACUGCAGCCUCCACCUCCCGGGUUAAAGCAAUUCUCCUGCCUCAGACUCCUGAGUAGCUGAGACUACAGGUGCACACCACCACCCCCGGUUAAUUUUUUUGUAUUUUUAGUAGAGAUGGGGUUUUGCCAUAUUGGCCAGACUGGUCUCGAACUCCUGACCUCAUGAUCUGCCCACCUUGGCCUCCCAAAGUGCUGGGGUUACAGGCGUGAGCCACCACGCCCGUUUUGUUUUUCUUUGUAUGUUUUUGUUUUUUGAGAUGGAGUUUCGCUCUUGUUUACCAAGGCUGGAGUGCAAUGGCGCGAUCUCGGCUCACGGCAACCUCCGCCUCCUGGAUUCAGGCAAUUCUCCUGCCUCAGCCUCCUGAGCAGCUGGGAUUACAGGCACACGCCACCGUGCCCAGCUAAUUUAUUGUAUUUUUAGUAGAGACGGGGUUUCACCAUGUUGACCAGGAUGGUCUCGAUCUCUGGACCUCGUGAUCCACCAGCCUUGGCCUCCCAAAGUGCUGGGAUUACAGGUGUGAGCCACCGCUCCCGGCUUUUAUUUUAUUAUUAUUAUUAUUAUUAUUAUUAUUUUCUUUCAGAGACGGAGGUUCGCUCUUGUUUUUACCCAGGCUGGAGUGCAAUGGCGCGAUCUCGGCUCACCGCGACGUCUGCCUCCUGGGUUCAGGCAAUUCUCCUGCCUCAGCCUCCUGAGUAGCUGUGAUUACAGGCAUGCGCCACCACACCUGGCUAAUUUUGUAUUUUUAGUAGAGACAGGGUUUCUCCAUGUUGGUCUGGCUGGUCUCAAAUUCCCAACCUCAGGUAAUCUGCCAACCUCGGCUUCCCAAAGUGCUGGGAUUACAGGCAUGAGCUUGACCGGCCUAUAUCCUUUGAAGUCAAUGUUUUUUCAGUUAUAUUAUGCUGUCUCUGAGGGAUAAAUGUCUAAAGGUCCUCAGUGAAUGUUCAUUGAAUAAAUGUUGAAAGAAAGAGCAAGAGGGAAUGAGGUCAUGAUAAAAAAAAAAAGACCAAAAAAAAAAACAAAAAAAAAACUGAGCGUUAUUCCCUUAGGGGGCCAGAAAGGAAUUGUUUGUUAUGAGUAGAUGGAGAAGAAGGCUAUGUAAAGUUAAGAACAAUGCCUUCAGGCUGGGCACAGUGGCUCAUGCCUGUAAUCCCAGAAGGAGUUCAAGACCAGCCUACUAAAUAUGGUGAAACCUUGUCUCUACUAAUAAUACAAAUAAUUAGCUGGGCUUGGUGGCGCACUGUAAUCCCAGCUACUCGGGAGGCGGAAACAGGAGAAUCACUUGAACCUGGGAGGCAGAGGUUGCCAAGAUCGUGCCAUUGCACUCCAGCCUUGGUGACAGAGCAAGACCUCGUCUCAAAAAAAAAAAAAAAAAAAAACCCUUCAACACACAGACAACACACACACACACACACACACACACACUUCUUCACCCACACACCAUUAAAAUGGCCAUUGCAAAAUUGUCUCUUUCUCCGUGAAAGGGAUCUGACCUAACCAACUUUAAUCUUGCUUCUAAUCUCCAGGCUGUCCUUGUUCACUCCUGGGUGUAGGCUGAACUAACUUUGGGAGGAACUCAGCUUAUAGCUUAAAGCAAAGACAGUAACAGCCCUUUCCCAAAACAAACCCCCUCUUGCCUAAUCUUGUGGCUAAUUUUGAUAGUCUUACAAAGGACUAGACUGCCUUUGUAGGACUAUCAAAAUUAGCCACAAAAUUAGAAAUCAUGGUUUAGAAGUCAUGAAGCUGGAGGCUACAACACUCUGACUCUCUCCAAUUCCUCCUAGGGAUAAAAUCACCUAAAUUUUAGGUUUAUUAUAAAACCUAAAACCAGUGCUUAAGAUAUUUUGCAGACCCUGCACUUGAUGGAUCAGCUGGCACCACCUAGAUCGAGCAACUAGCUCAUCUGAGCUUAUGGCCCUCCCACCCAGAAACUGACUCAGUGCAAGAAUACAGCUUCAGGCUGGGCAUGGUGGCUCACACCUGUAAUCCAAGCACUUUGGAGGCCAAGGGAGGCAGAUCACCUGAGGUCGGGAGUUCAAAACUAGUCUGACCAACAUGGUGAAACCCCAUCUUUUAAAAAAUAAAUAAAUAAAAUAAAAUAAUACAGCUUCAACUCCCUGUGAUUUCAUCUCUGACCUGACCAAUCACUACUCUCAACUCACUGGCUUCCCCACCCACCAAAUUGUCUUUAAAAACCCUGAUAUCUGAACACUCAGGGAGACUGAUUUGAGUAAUAAUAAAACUCCAGUCUCCUGCACAGCCAGCUCUGCGGGAAUUAUUCCUUCUCUAUUGCAAUUUCCCUGUCUUGAUAAAUUGGCUCUAUUUAGGCAGCCAACAAGGUGAACCCACUGGGUGGUUACACUACCUAUGUGUCCAUCAUCAGACUUAAGUGGUUCUCAAAAAAGCCUGUAGGUUACAUAUUUAUUUAUUUCUUGCUCUUUCUCCAGAAUUAAGAAUCACAAGAGUUGGCCAGGCGCGGUGGCUCACACCUAUAAUCCCAGCACUUUGGGAGGCUGAGGCGGGUGGAUCAUGGGGUCAAGAGAUGGAGACCAUCCUGGUCAACACGGUGAAACCCCGUCUCUACUAAAAAUACAAAAAUUAGCUGGGUAUGGUGGUGCACGCCUGUAGUCCCAGCUACUCAGGAGGCUGAGGCAGGAGAAUUGCUUGAACCCAGGAGGCGGAGGUUGCGGUGAGCCGAGAUUGUGCCAUUGCACUCCAGAAUGGGUAACAACAGCGAAACUCCAUCUCAAAAAAAAAAAUCACAAGAGUUAUGAAACUCAGCUGACCACCCUAGAUUUUUAGAAGGAGACCCUACUUAUUAUCUAACCCAGUGGUUCUCUAUAUGCUUCUGUGUGCAUAAAACGGCCUGGGCCAUAGAUCUUCAGCCAAUAAAAGAGCCUAUGGAGUCAGGCACUGUGGCUCACACCUGUAAUUCUAGCACUUUGGGAGGCUGAGGCUGGCGAAUCACUUGAGAUCAGGAGUUUGAAACCAGUCUGGCCAACAUGAUGAAACCUCAUCUCUACUAAAAAUACCAAAAUUAACCAGGCAUGGUGGCAGGCGCCUAUAAUCCCAGCUAUUUGGGAGGCUGAGGCAGGAGAAUUGCUUGAACCUGGGAGGCAAAGGUUACAGUGAGCCAAGAUUGUGCCACUGCACUCCAGCCUGGGCAGGAGAGCAAGACUCCAUCUCACAAAAAAAAGAAAAAGCCUAUGGGAUAGCUUCUUCUGCCAUGUUGUUGGAGGCAAGUGCUGUGACUAGCCACAUUUGCGGGGGGGAUAAAAGCCCUGAACCCCUUUCUUUUGGCUCCAUAUCUUUUUUUUUUUUUUUUUUGAGAGGCAAAGUUUCGCUGUGUUGUCCAAGCAACCUCAAAUUCUUGGGCUCAAGCCAUCCUCCUGCCUCUGCCUCCCAAGGAGCUAGGACUAUAGGUGCAAGCUUGAGAAGCCAUGGCCAGCUCAAGGUUGGCUUCCUUCAUUUUUGUGAAGAUAUCUCAUCCUUUCAUUUCUGAAUCCUAUUGAUUGAGAACCAGUAGGAAAUAGGAGUAGGAGAAAAUGAGUGAUUUUUUAAAUCUCUAUUAGUAUACUAAUUUUGGAAAGAGAACUGAGCUAAAGUUUUAGGAAUAAUUUAACCAUUAUAUUCACUGUCUACCUCAACAUCCCAGCUCUGGAAUUGUAUUUGGCAAAGAUUCUUUUCUUAGGUUGGCUUCUGAUUGGGCUAAUAUUAGUUCUUAAUGACUCAAAAACAACUGAGGAGAACCAUGACUUCACCAAUUAAUGCUAGUGUAUCUGAUUCUCUGAGUUGGCAGAGUGAAAUCCUCAAGGUCAGGAUCAAUUUUUGUCAUCCCUGGAUAAGUCAUUUCUUUUAUCUGGGCCAAUUACUCAAAGUUCCACAUUCAGUUUAAUAUCUCAUUAAAGAAAAAUCCAAAAGACCAUGAUUUCCAAAGUUUAGCAGACAUGUGAUUACCACACUACUGUAAGUAUGAAAUCCCAUCAAGAAUUCAGAAUUUAUCUUCUAAAAUGUGAGGCUAUAUUGAUGUCAAGUAAGCCUGAUGUAAUUUUAACAGAUCUCCAAAACAAACACAAAAUCAUCUGAUUGAGUCAUGCAAAGAGGCAGAGAAAAAUAAAUAAAGAAGAAACAAAAAACAAAUCAAUAGCCAGGUGCAGUGGCUCACACCUGUAAUCCCAACACUUUGGGAGGCUGAGACGGUCCGAUCACUUGAGGUGAGGAAUUUGAGACCAGCUUGACCAACGUGGCAAAACCCUGUCUCUACUAAAUAUACAAAAAUUAGGCCAGGCACAGUGGCUCACGCCUGUAAUCCCAGCACUUUGGGAGGCUGAGGCAGGUGGAUCAUGAGGUCAGGAGAUUGAGAAAAUUCUGGCUAACACGGUGAAAUCCCAUAUCUACUACAAAUAAAAAUUAAAAAAUUAGCCAGGUGUGGUGGUGGGCACCUUUAGUCCCAGCUACUAAGGAGGCUGAGGCAGGAGAAUCGCUUGAACCCAGGAGGCAGAGGUUGCAGUGAGCCGAGAUUGCCCCACUGCACUCUAGCCUAGGUGACAGAGCAAGAUUUCAUCUCAAAAAUAAAAAACAAAAACAAUCUGUCUUUGAAGUUAGAGCACUGCAAUGAAAAAAUAAAAAAGGUUUGUGAUACAAAGUUAUGCUGUAAGAAUGGCAUCUACCAGCUGGGCAUGGUGGCUCACACCUGUAAUCCCAGCAUUUUGGGAGGCUGAAGCCAGUGGAUCACCCGAGGUUGGGAAUUCAAGAUCAGCCUGACCAAUACAGAGAAACCCUGUCUUAAAAAAAUAAUAAGCCAGACGCGGUGGCUCAAGCCUGUAAUCCCAGCACUUUGGGAGGCUGAGGUGGGUGGAUCACGAGGUCAAGAGAUUGAGACCAUCCUAGUCAACAUGUUGAAACCCCGUCUCUACUAAAAAUACAAAAAAUUAGCUGGGCAUGGUGGCGCGUGCCUGUAAUCCCAGCUACUCAGGAGGCUGAGGCAGGAGAAUUGUCUGAACCCAGGAGGCGGAGGUUGUGGUGAGCCGAGAUCACGCCAUUGCACGCCUGGGUAACAAGAGUAAAACUCCCUUUAAAAAAAAAAUAUGGCAUCUACCAUAGAAACAUCACUUUUGUUUUUUGGUUUUUUUUUUUGACAUGGAGUUUCACUCUACCACCCAGGCUGGAGUUCAGUGGCACAAUCUUAGCUCACUGCAGCCUCUGCCUCCUGGGUAAAAGGAAUUCUCCUGCCUCAGCCUCCCAUGUAGCUGAAACUACAGGUGUCUGCCACCACACCUGGCUAAUUUUUUGUGUUUCUAUUUUUAUUCAUUUAUUUACGUUUUUAUUUUUUUGAGACAGGGUUUCACUCUGUCACCCAGGCUGGAGUGCAGUGGCAUGAUCCGGGCUCACCACAACCUCUGCUUUCUGGGUUCAAGUUAUUCUCCUGCCUCAGCCUCCCAAGUAGCUGGAAUACAAAAAUUAGCCAGGUAUCGUGGCUCAUGCUUGUAGCCCCAGAUACUCAGGAGGGUGAAGCAGGAGAAUUCCUUGAACCUAGGAGGCGGAGGUUGCAGUGAGCAGAGAUCACACCACUGCACUCCAGCAGUGCGCCACCACGCCCAGCUAAUUUCGUGUAUUUUUAGUAGAGAUGUUUCUCCAUGUUAGUCAGGCUGGUCUCAAACUCCCGAACUCAGGUGAUCCACCCGCCUCAGCCUCCCAAAGUGCUGAUAUUAUAGGCGUGAGCCACUGUUCCCGGCUUCCCAUGGGGUUUGUUGUUGUUGUUGUUGUUGUUUUGAGAUGGAGUGUCACCCUGUCGCCCAGGCUGGAGUGCAAUGGCAAGAUCUUGGCUCACUGCAACCUUUGCCUCCCAGGUUCAAGCGAUUCUCCUGCCUCAGCCUCCCAAAUAGCUGGGAUUACAAGCAUGUGCCACCAUGCCUGACUAUUCUGUGUUUUUAAUAGAGACGGGGUUUCACCAUAUUGACCAGGCUGGUCUCAAACUCCUGACCUCAGGUGAUGUGCCUGCCACUCCUCCCAAAGUGCUGGGAUUACAGGCAUGAGCCACUGUGCCUGGAUGCAACAUCACUUUUCUAAGCUUCCAAAAAUGUUCACUCUCAUCUACUGUCAAAGGAGAAGAAACAGAGUCUAUUAUUCUGAAACUGAAAUAAAGAUCAGCCAUGUAUCUGCUCUCAUUGACAUUCAUCAAUCAGAUGCUGAUUAGAUACAGCAGAAAUGGAAAACGAACUCAAAAACACUCUCCCACCCAUCCACUCCCUACAUUAAGGCAUCUCAGGCUGGCUUAGGUCUACAGAUGUAACCCUGUAUUCUGGAAAUUCAGAACAGCUAAAUCCAAAUACAGCUAACUCUAAAUGUCUCUAGUUAACCAAGAGCUGAGUUAAAUUAAUACCAUACAUAUAAUGCAUCUUGAUUUUUUUUUUUUUGAGACAGUCUCACUCUGUCACCCAGGCUGGAGUACAGUGGCGUGAUGUCGGGUCACUGCAAUCUCCGCCUCUUAGGUUCAAGAGAUUCUCCUGCCUCAGCUUUUUUUUCUUUUUUGAGACAGGGUUUCACUCUGUCACCCAGGCUGGAGUGCUUUGCGCGAUCUGGGCUCACUGCAACAUCCAUCUCCUGGGUUCAAGCAAUUCUCCUGCCUCUGGAGUAGCUGGGACUACAGGCACUUGCCACCAUGUCCAGCUAAUUUUUGUAUUUUUAGUGGAGAUGGGGUUUCACAAUGUUGGCCAGGCUGGUCUUGAACUCCUGGCCUCAAGUAAUCUGCCUGCCUUGGCCUCCCAAAGUGCUAGGCGUGAGCCACCAUGCCCAGCCCAAAGUGUGGUUUUUUAUUUUUUAUUUUUAUAACCAAUGGCCAAUGACCAAAGUGUGGUUUUUAGGUGGAUAUUUAUAUUAGAUUGUAUUUAAUGCUCGCAAAACUAAACAGCUAACCAGAGAAGUCCCUGAUGAGUGCUAAAUUCUACCUAGCAACUUGGUUACAGAAAGCUGGUAGUUAAAUGCAGCUCACUGUCCUAGAAAAUCCAAGCAAACUUUUACACAUGCAUCUGAAUCAAGGACUCCCAUAGCUGCUUGGAGAUUGUCAGUUAGGGGGUCUCAAAUUGCAAGUUAAUUCAUAAGCCAAAAUAUAUUCCCACAAAUGUUCUGUAAAAAUAUGGAUGUGGGAGCAUAAACUCAGCAAAGCAGCCACAGUGUUACAAAAUGAACAAGCAUCUAGGCCUCUAUCUCCUUUCUCCAAGCACCGUGUAUCCCUGAAACAUAAGAACUACUCUCUGGAACUGCUUAGUGGCUGGUGCGCUGAGUGGGUGUGCCCAAAAUGCACAUGGUCUUACUUCCUGAGGGAGUCAAAGUUUAACUUGCAGGAUCCCCCGUAUUUGUUUACAAAAGCGUUUCUCCUCAAGCCACCACUGCAGAAUAUCCUUGCUAGGCAUCAAAAACAUGGCCCCUUCCCUUCAUGUGCUCAUAAGAACUUCAGAGCAGAAACCACACAUCUAGAUGACCAUCACCAUCUUCUUCUUCUUCUUCUUCUUUUUUUUAAAUAGAGAAGGGGUCUUGGUAUGUUGACCAGGAUGGUCUCAACCUCCUGGGCUCAGGUGAUCCUCCCAACUCAUCCUCCCAAAGUGUUGGGAUUACUUGCAUAUCACCAUGUUCUUGACAGCUCUCCACCAGGUGAGCAUAUGAGGCUCAUAACCAGUUCUUAUUUAUUUAUUUAAUGAAGGCUGGGGAGAUUCUGAUUGGGGUAGUCUCUGACUGAACUAAAUUUUAACAUAUUCAUGUUAAAGAAAUGAUCUGGCUACCUACUUAAUAACACAAUUUCCCAUGAAAGAUAAAAAUCAAGAACUGAAGACUAUUUCCCAGAAAAGAAAUAGAAGUGAUUUGCUACCUUUAUUAUUUCUCUCUCUCUUUUUUUUUACACACACUUACACACAGAUUGGGACAUACACUCCAAACUGCCAAGGAAUCUCAGUUUGUGGUGCAAUUUUUGGAAGUCAAAAAUAUUGCAUAGUUUAAGUCACAACGUGGCUGGGCAUGGUGGCUCGUAAUCCUAGCACUUUUGGGAAGCCGAGGCAGGCGAAUGACUUGAGCUGAGGAGUUGGAGACCAGCCUGGGCAACAUACUGAAACUCUGUCUAUACAAACAAUACAAAAAUUAACUGGGUAUGGUGGCAUGCACCUGUUAUCCCAGCUAUCCAGGAGGCUGAGGUGACAGAAUGGCUUGAGCCAGGAGGUGGAGGCUGCAAUGAACCAAGUCUACACCACUGCACUCCCUCCUGGGCAUCAGAGCCAUAUCCUGUUUAAAAAAAAAAAAAAAAAAAAGACACAGUCUGCUUCAAAAUCACAAAGCGUGCCAUCUUGAGAGAUAUACCAGAUAAUUGGCAAUGGUGAUCUGGGAUAUAUGGGCUGCGAUUAUUAAAAAAACUUCCACUUUCCAUAUUACAUAUCUCCUAUAAUGUUGGAAAAUGUUCAGUGAGCCUGUAUUUCUCCUUUUGUAAGCAGAAAGUGUAACACAGAGAAGUUUUACAAACAAAAGUAACGUGCCACAUCUCUUAGCAGUGGACUGUAUACUACCAUCAUUCACUUCAUGCUAGACUUCUUGUGAUGGUUCUGCCUGUUAAUGAGAAUCCCUAAUUCACACUCUCCAAGCAGCUGUGAAGGUCACUGAGAAGAUUUCGAAGCUCCUUACCAGUCUCUGAAUGGGUAGAAAAUCAUACAUACAGGCCAGGCACUGUGGCUCACACCUGUAAUCCCAGCAUCUGGGAAGCCGAGGUGGGGAGACCACAAGGUCAGGAGUUUGAGACCAGCCUGGCCAACAUAGUGAAACCCCAUCUCUACUAAAAAUAUAAAAGUUAGCCGGGUAUUGUGGCAUGUGCCUGUAAUCCCAGCUACUCAGGAGGCUGAGACGGGAGAAUCACUUGAACCUGGGAGGUGGAGGUUGCAGUGAGCUGAGACUGCACCAUUGCACUCCAGUCUGGGUGACAAAGAGAGAUUCUGUCUAAAAAAAAAAAAAGAAUGCCUGCAGAUAUAAAUCUGGGACAAAGUAGAAGCCCUCAGUUUUCCUUUCUUUGUAACGUUUUCUCUCGGGCCUCUCAGGACUGUCUUCACCAUCAGAAUGAGCAAUUUCCCUGUCCGUGCCUAUCUUCUCACCCCCACGUGCCUUUUGUUUAUGGCUGAUUUCCCAGGCCUCUCUGCAAAUGGCUAAGGGACACAGAGGUUUAAUCUGGCAUUGGCUGUCAGCACUAACAAACCUCAUGCUUAGUGAAAGAUGUGAUUAGAACUGAACGGUUAGGUAGACCCCUAAAAAUGUGUGGAGGAAGAAUGUUGAAGAUGAGGUGGGGAACUUUUGUGCUUUUGGGCACGCAAACCAUUUAGCAUAGCACACAUUGGCAGGAUGUCAAGAACCUGUUUUCCAUGAUGCCCAAAAGAAUAAUAAACUGUAUUCAGGGAGGCCCUGGCAAGUGUGCAGCCAUGUAUUGGGUAACAUUAGGGAAUCAACAGAGGUAAAAUUCAUGACUCCUCAGCCGGGUGCGGUGGCUUAUGCCUGUAAGCCUCCCAGCUACUGGGGAGGCUGAGGCAGGAGAAUUGCUUGAACCCAGGAGGCAGAGAUUGCAGUAAGCCAAGAUCAUACCACUGCACUACAGCCUGUGCAACAGAACAAGACUCUAAAAAAAAAAAAAAAGAAAAAGAAAAAAAAUUCCUGACCCCUGCUCUUGAAGAGCCCAGCAUAUAUAGUCAGUAACUGAGAUCUCUGUUAUAAAGAGGCAAGGCAAUACUGUUCUCUCUCUUUCUGUCUCUCUCCCACUCUCUCUCUUUCAUGUGUGUGUGUGUGUGUGUAAGGUACCGAUUUCUUACUACACUGACUCAACAAGACCAGCUUAUCACCAGUCGGCUACACAGACAGUUCCCUGAAGACGUUCUUCAUGUCUUCACCAAGCCUUGUUCUGCUGCCCAAGCCUUCCCUUUCCUGUGGCCCUCUGGCUUUGGCACACUCCUCCUAGUCUCUAGCCACACUUGCUGUCUCUGUGGGGGACGCAUGAGCAGAAGGACUGCUUUCACACACCUCACUUACCCGAGUUGCUUCAAACUGCCCUCCACCUCCCUGGCUUGGUAGCUUUUCUUCCAUGCAUCACUUCAGUGUCAGCCACUCCUAAAUUAUUAGCCCUUGAGGGCUCCUGCUUUCUCUUCCAGCCAAGCACACUUUAGGGAGAAGGCCCUAAUUGUUCUCACAAAAUAUUCUGUUCAACCAGAAUGAACUCAGAAUGGAGUCCUGGGAACUCAGGCCAACAGCUAUUGCCAAUCAGGUUGCUGCCAGCCAACUCCAAGAACAGCCUAGAAGAGCCUGCUGGUUGCUCUGCCUCCUCCCACACUAUGUCAAAUGGUGUCCUGAUCACAACUAACAAUGUCUCCAUCCUCCUGAUGACACCAUUUCUUUUUUUUUGAGGCAGAGUUUCACUCCUGUUACCAAGGCUGGAGUGCAAUGGUGCAAUCUCGGCUCACCGCAACCUCUGCCUCCUGGGUUCAAGCAAUUCUCCCGCCCCAGCCUCCUGUGUAGCUGGGAUUACAGGCACGUGCCACCAUGACCAGCUAAUUUUUUGUAUUUUUAGUAGAGACAGGGUUUCACCAUGUUGACUAGGAUGGUCUCGAUCUCUUGACCUUGUGAUCCACCGACCUCGGCCUCCCAAAGUGCUGGGAUUACAGGCUUGAGCCACCGCGCCUGGCCGCCAUUUCAAAAGACUUAAACCAUCUCCUCCUUUCACCAGCAUGUGUGGGUUUAUGAGAUUCCUUGCCAAGCCACAAGGGCCACCUGCAAAAGAUAAUUCUCCUGGUCUGAGUAAAUUCCCAGAACCCCGAGGUUAGCCACAUAAUUACAAACUCCAGAGCAUUAAUAAAGACAAGGAAAAGUGAAGUGGCUCAUGCCUGUAAUCUCAGCACUUUGGGAGGCAGGCACGAAGAUUGUUUGAGCUCAGGAGUUCCAGACCAGCCUGGGCAACAUAGUGAAACCUCAUCUAUAUAAAAAACUACAAUAAUUAGCCAGGCAUGGUGGUGUACACCUGUAUCAUCUAGUCCCAGCUACUAAAGAGGUUAAGGUGGGAAGAUCACUUGAUCAGUUGCAGUGAACCAAGACUGGGCAACUACACUCUAGCCUGGGUGACAGAGCAAGACACUGUCUCAAAAAGAAAGAAAAAUGGAGUGGAGAAUGGGGGAGGAUAAAUUAUACAAAGAACAACAACAACAAAAAUACCUCAAAGUCUUCAUAAAAGCUAAAUAGCCAGGUAUGGGCCAGGCAUGGUGGCUCAUGCCUAUAAUUCCAGCACUUUGGGAGUCCAAGGCAGGUGAAUCACUUGAGGUCAGGAGUAUGAGACAAGGCUGGCCAAUGUGGUGAAACCCCAUCUCUAGUAAAAAUACAAAAACUAGCUGGGUGUCAUGGUGCACACCUGUAAUCCCAGCUACUCAGGAGGCUGUGGCAGGAGAAUUGCAUGAACCUAGGAGGUGGAGGUUGCAGUGAGCCAAGAUCGUGCCACUGCACUCCAGCAUGGGCGACAGAGCGAGACUCCAUCUCAAAAAAAACAGUAAUAAUAAAUAGCCAGGAAUGGUGCCAUGUGCUGGUUGUCCCAGCUACUCAGGAGGCUGAGGCAGGAGGAUCACUGGAGCCCAGGAGUUCAAGAGUGAUCACAGGAGAUCACAGUGCUGUCAUGCACUAUGGUCACGCCUGUACAUAGCCACUGCACUUCAGCCUGGGCAACACAGUGAGAACCUGUCUUUCUUGUUUUUUUUCUUUUCUUUUUUUUGGAGACAGGGUUUCACUCUGUCACCGAGGCUGGAGUGCAGUAAUAUGAUCUUGGCUCACUGCAACCUCUGCCUAUUAGGCUCAAGCGAUCCUCUUACCUCAGGUUGCCGAGCAACUGGGACUACAGGUGCACCAUCUGCUGAUUUUUGUAUUUUUCGUAGAGACGGUUUUGCCAUGUUGCCCAGGCUGGUCUAGAACUCCUGGGCUCAAGCAGUCCACCAGCCUUGGCCUUUCUAAGUGUUGGGUUUACAGGCAUGAGCCAUGGCUCCUGGACUGGAAUUAUAUUUUCAACAACAUAAAAUAGUUUUCAUUUCUUUCUUUUUUUUUUUUUUGGAGACAGAGUCACUCUGUCGCCCAGGCUGGAGUGCAUUCACAUGAUCUCAGCUCACUACAACCUCUACCUCGGGUUCAAGUGAUUCUUCUGCCUCAGCCUCCUGAGUAUCUGGGAGUACAGGCAUGCACCACAAUGCCCAGCUAAUUUUUUUGCAUUUUGAGUAGAGACAGGGUUCCACCAUGUUAGCCAGGCUGCUCUUGAACUCCUGGCCUCAAAUGAUCCACCUACCUUGGCCUCCCAAAAUGCUGGGAUUACAGGUAUGAGCCACUGCACCCGGCUAAUUUUCAUUUCUUUGCCUAUAUAAUAUGCCACACAGAAUGACACACACACACACACACACACACACACACACAUAUAAACUUUUAAGUCAAGUAUUAAAAAUGAUAUGCUGGUAAGGAAAAGAUGUGCCUAUCUAAUGAUUCAAGCUGAAAUGAAUUUCUGAAAACAAAGACAGUAUACUGCAUUGAUUACAAGCACGCCUAGAAUCACCCAGAUCUAUAUCUGAUGCCAAAACAGUAUUCAACUUGCAGGAAACGCUUCUAAAGAAAAUUCAAAGGAGCCAGGAGAGGCUGGCAGGGCCAACAGACUGCGAUGCAGGCCUCACCCUAAGUGAAGAAGAGAGGAAAAAAUGGAAGGGCGGGUAGAAGCAUGUUACAUUACAGUGUAUUCUAAGGCAAGUUCAGCAAGGCUGCGAGAGCACUUCAGUCAUCAGAGGAGUCCCAUAUCUCCAAAGUAUCAGCCUGCCUUAACACCCCUGCCACACUCUGUCACUGGCUGGAAUUAGCCCUUGGGUGUGUAGCCUCAGCUCACACACAGUGAUGGAGUUCAGAAGGCAGCAGGGGCCCUCAGUCAACUGCUCCCUGCAGUUGGAAGGAUGUCUGAGCAAUAUAUGUCAUGGUCACCACACUCAGUUUUCCUCUUUGGUAAGACAGGACAAAAUCCUUGCCCACUUGCCAUCUAGAGAAAUUGGGUGACUCAGAGAAGGCAAUGUCUGUAAACACUAUGUAAAUUCUAAGUGUGGAACAUGUGAAAUAUUCCUUACACAGGACUAUGCCCCAGCCGUGACGUGCAGCUCUUCACUCCCUCGCUCUGGCUGUGUCCUCUAACACACAUCUACUAGACCUGCAGUCUGCCUCUGACCCCUUCAUUCUUCUCUAGCUACCCAACCUAGAUACUUCCUGAGCUCAGCCGUGUCUGGAACACAGGAAUGGAAAAUACAGUCCUUUGGCUCAUAGCUAAAAAUGUCCUCAAAUAGAGGGAGCCAGCUGGCUGCACAUAGGCCAGUUCAGCCUCGUGAUGUACUGCUUCAGUGAAGCUAAACAUUGACCUCUUUGAUAACCAAGGACCAUGCCCAGCAAGUUCUGCAACUUAAUUAUUAAACUGCUUGGAAGAGAAGCAAACUAUUAGACUUUGAGAGCUCUACAUUUUUAUUUUUAUUUUAUUCAUUUAUUUAUUUAUUUUGAAAUGGAGUCUUGCUCUGUCACCCAGGCUGCAGUGCAAUGGCAUGAUCUUGGCUCACUGCAACCUCCACUUCCCAGGUUCAAGAAAUCCUCCUGCCUCAACCUCCUGAAUAGCUGGGAUUAUAGGCACCCACCAGCACAGCUGGCUAAUUUUUGUGUUUUUAGAAGAGAUGGAGUUUCACCAUGUUGUCCAAGCUGGUCUCAAACUAGUGACCUCAAGUGAUCUGCCCACCUUGGCCUCCAAAGUGCUGGAAUUACAGGUGUGAGCCUGGCCAUAAUUUUAUUUAUUUUUGAAUAGGUAAUACAUACACAUGAUCUGAUAUGCAAAACUUACAGAAGAGAAUAUAGUGAAAAGUCUCCCUUCCAUUCUGUCCUCUACUAGCAAAGUUCCCCCUCCUUGGAGCCAAUCAAUGCUUCCUUGUCUUACGUAUCGUUUCAGAAAUAUUUUAUGCAUAUUUCUGCCUCUGAAAUAAUUUCUAAAACUGCUAAAAGAAAGUCCCUUAGAGAGUAACUACUGUUGAGACUGGGCUAAUGUUAUUUAGAUUCAUCUAUUUUACUCCAUUUUAUCUCAUUUCAACCUUAUUUGGAAGCAUAUUUUUUUCAACAUUUCACUAUGAAAAUUUUUCAAACAUACAGGAAAAUUGAAAGAAUUUUCAGUGGAGCCAAGUGCAGUGGCUCACGCCUCUAAUCCCAACACUUUGAGAUGCCAAGGUGGGCAGAUCACUUGAGGUCAGGAGUUCGAGACGAGCCUGGUCAACACGGAGAAACUCUGUCUCUACCAAAACUACAAAAAGUAGCUAGAUAUGGUGGUAGGCACCUAUAAUUCCAGGUACUCAGGAGGGUAAGGUGGGAGAAGCGCUUGAACCCGGGAGGUGGAGGAUGCAGUGAGCUAAGGUCACGCCACUGCACUCUAGCCUGGGCGACAGGGCAAGACUCCGUCUCAAAAAUAAAUAAAUAAAUAAAUAAAAGAAUUGUUCAGUGAAUACCUACACUUCCAACACCUAGAUUCUGCAAUGACUGAUUUACUACAUUUGCUUUAGGUAUUUUUAUUAUUAUUCUCAUUUUACUGCUAAUGAAACUGUGUCAAAUGUAGGUGCUUUGCUGCAAAAGCUUCUUAAUCCUAUCUUGCUUAAUCUUUUUUUUUUUUUAAUUCCAGCAUUUCAGCCAAGGUCCAAAGAGAUUAGCAUCUCCAGAGAAGAAUUUAAAUCCAGUUUCUUGUGUCUGAAUAUGGUCUGUAGAUAAGCCCCAAAGAACACAAGUUCUCUUUUUCACUUGUAAUUUCUGUACCCUUUGGCCCUUAUCAUUCCACGUGGUGCUGUUCUCCCUGACAGAGUUUAACCUCCCUCAGCUGACCUCCUUCUUCUUGAAAGCAUAGUUUUUAGGCAUGUGAGAGAAGCAGACCAGGCAGCCCAGCUGACUCAGCUGUUUUUAUGUCAACAGCCUACGUGGACAACCACUUUGCUACUCACAGGGUGGUUCACAGACCAGCAGAAUUACAUCAUAUAUGUACAAUAUCAGGCCCACCCAGACCUACUGAAUGAGAAUCUGUCAUUCCACAAGAUUCCCAAGUGAUUCCUAUUGCACAUACCACACAUCAUUAUAGUCUCAUUUCAGCCAUGGUUAAAAGGAGCCCAAUGCUAUUUGCUGGUCAUAGGUGGGGGGAAAAAAAAGAGGAGUUCAUGACAUUCAGCUUGGCCGGGCUUGGUGUACACCUAUAAUCCUAACAUUUUGGGAGGCCAAGGUGGGAUGAUCACUUGAGGCCGGGAGUUUGAGUCCAGCCUGGGCAACAUAGCAAGACUGUCUCUACAGAGAAAAAUAAAGACAUUCGUCUUUUUUUUUUUUUUUUUUUGCUUUUUGAGACGGACUCUCACUCUGUUGCCUAGGCUGGAGUACAGUGGUGUGAUCUUGGCUCACUUGCAACCUGUGCUUCUUGGGUUCAAGUGAGUCUUCUGCCUCAACCUCCCGAGUAGCCGGGACUACAGGCGCACACCACCACACCCAGCUAAUUUUUGUAUUUUUAGUUAAGAUGAGGUUUCACUAUAUUUGCUAGGCUAGUCUCAAACUCCUGACCUCAUGAUGAUCCGCCUGCCUCGGCCUCCCAAAGUGCUGGGAUUACAGGCAUGAGCCACCGUGACUAGCCGAUAUUUAUCUUAAGAACUACCCUUUCCUUCUUUUUGUUUUUUUUUUAUAUCUUAUUUGCCUCUUUGCUCCCUUUCUUCACAACCUGUAACCCCAGUUAUUGAGCCCCUGCUCUGUAUGCUCUGUACGAGGAACAUUAUUCCUAACUCUCAGAGUAUUGCAAAAGAUACUUUAUUCCUAAUUUACAGAUAAGGCUCAGAGGAUUAGAAAUCCACCUAAUGAUAAACAGCUGUAAAUACUACGCAAGUUAUUUUCCAAGACCUGCUUCUCUCUUUCUACUGUAAAACAAUGCCUCUCCAAACCCUGGCAAUUGCCUCAGCCUAGACCUUGCCCACUUGGGCCAGACAGCUUAUGCCUGCCUGUCAUGCAAGGCUUUUAGACUUGUCUCUUUCUUAAGCCCUUUUCUCAUGUGUUGUUCACUGCUAGUUCACCUGGAUCUUACUCCUUUAGCUCCCAGUCAUCAAUCAGCUAUUCUUAUAAUCUAAGAACAUAGGUAACACCUGGGCAUUGUAAUGCUGGCCUUCUAUAGACAGUGGGAGGAGGUGGGAGUGAGAAGAUGACAGACAGGUGAAAAAAUAUAUGGGCAGGUAGGAUGCACUCUGCUAGGGCAUGCCUUCUUUCAAUCUAAAUGAAGAACUCAGAUAGCUGCUAUGGAUACGGUUUUAUGCUAGUGACUACGCUGGGUACACAGAUGUACAAAAUGUGAUUCCUGCCCUUAAUAAGGAGAAUUAAUCCAGCAGGGGAGCUAGGACAGGCACACAGCAAAGCCUGAUUAAAAAGUACAGCAGGAACAUAGAAAAGAGGCUGCUUCUGGGUGGGAAAAUAGAUGAUUACAAAGAGCGGGGGAUGGGAGGCAGAGAGCCUUCCAGGCAAGGGGAAAACAUGCAAAAAGAGAAGAAAAGCACCUUUCGGGAGUCUCCUGCAUAGAGCCCUGGGUGGCUGAUGGAGAAGGUAUUCAAGAGUGGCUGCACCUGGAGCUGGGAGCUGAGCAUCAUGAAGAUUAAAACAUAAAGUAAGCUGGGUGUGGUGGCUCAUAUCUGUAAUCCCAACAUUUUAGGAGGCCAAGGUGGGCAGAUCUCUUGAGGUCAGGAGUCUGAGACCAGCCUGACCAAUGUGGAGAAACCCCUUCUCUAUUAAAAAUACAAAAUUAGCUGGGUGUGGUGAUGCGUGCCUGUAAUCCCAGCUACUCGGGAGGCUAAAGCAAGAAAAUUGCUUGAACCUGGGAGGCAGAGGUUGCAGUGAGCGAGAUUGAGCCAUUGCACUCCAUCCUGGGCAACAAAAGUGAAACUACGUCUCAAAAAAAAAAAAAAAAAAAAGAAUAAAAAAACAUAAAGUGUGCUCAUAAAAUUGAGAGGAGUGGACCAGGCACAGUGGCUUACACCUGUAACCCCAGCAUUUUGGAAGGCCAAGGCAGGUGGAUCUCCUGACAUCAGAAGUUCGGGACCAGCCUGGCCAACAUAGUGAAACACCGUCUGUACUACAAAUACAAAAAAGUAGCUGGGAAUGGCAGUGGGCACCUGUAAUCCCAGAUACUCAGGAGGCUGAGGCAGGAGGAUCCUUUGAAGAGAGGCAGAGGUUGCAGUGAGCUGAGACUGCACCAUUGCACUCCAGCCUGGGCAACAAGAGCAAAACUUCGUCUCAAGAAAAAAACAAUUGAGAGGAGUUAGAAAGAAUCAUCUUGAAUCAAUUAACGACAUGUUGGGGGGCAGUGUGGUGUAGCAGUUUAGUGGCUUUAAACACAGGUUUGGUUUAUAUACCAGCUUUCACCUUUGCAAAAUGCCGUAUGUACAAGGUAAUUCACAGCGGCAUUGUUUACAAUAAAAAAUGACUGGAAAUAUACUAAAUGUUCAUCACUAGGGAACUAAUUAAAUAAAUUAUGGGCAUAACCAUGUGGAAAAUUGUCCAAAUGGAAAAGCAAGAUAUAGAGCAGGGUAUAAAUUAUGUUACCCUUUGUAACAAAAUAAAAAGGGUAAUUUUUUUUUUUUUUUUUUUUUUUUUGAGACAGAGUCUUGCUCAGUUGCCCGGGGUGGAUUGCAGUGGCAUGAUCACAGCUCAAUGCAAUCUCUGCUUCCUGGGCUCAAGCAGUCCUCCCCCAUCAGCCUCCCAAGUGUUCAAGGAAAUGCAAACUAAAAACUGAAUGACAUACUACUACUAACCCACUGGGAUGGCACAAAUUUUUUAAAUAGUGAGGAGGUGGAGCACCAAAACCUCAUACACUUAUUGGUUAUAAGUAAAACUUAAAAGGUUUUUUUUGUUUUUGAGACGAAGUCUCGCUCUUAUUGCCCAGGCUGUAGUGCAAUGGCACAAUCUCGGCUCACCACAACCUCCACCUCCUGGGUUCAAGCAAGUCUCCUACCUCAGCCUCCCGAGUAGCUGGGAUUACAGGUGCGUGCCACCAUGCCUGGCUAAUUUUUUGUAUUUUUGCCCAGCUAAUUUUUUGUAUUUUUAGUAGAGACAGGGUUUCACCGUGUUUGCCAGAAUGGUCUCCAUCUCCUGACCUUGUGAUCUGCCUGCUUCAGCCUCCCAAAGUGCUGGAUUACAGGCAUGAGCUACCGCGCCCAUCCUAACUUUAAAGUAUUUUAAGGAGUCUGGGUGCGGUGGCCUCUCACCUAUACUCCUGACUCACAAGGCCAGGAGUUCAAGACCAGCCUGACCAAUAUGGUGAAACCCUGUCUCUACUAAAAAUAUGAAAAUUAGCUGGGCAUGUUGGCAUGCACCAGUAGUCCCAGCUACUCAGGAGGCUGAGGCAGGAGAAUUGCUUGAACCUGUGAGGGGAAGGUUGCAGUGAGCCAAUGAGCCAAGAUUGUACCACUGCAUUCCAGCCUGGGUGACAGAGCAAAACUCCAUCUCAAAAAAAAAUUUUUUUAAGGAAAACUAUUUGUGACUUUCCUCACAUCAAUCAACAUACACUAUAGGCAAGCAAAGAAAAAAAGAAUGGGGGCUGUUAGGGGUGGGAAUCACAGGAAAAAUGGAAAAAGUUUUCCGAGGACAGAGUGGUGAAAUAAAGAGAAAAAUCAUGGGAGGAAAGUAAAUAAUAGAGACGAGUAAAAAAGUAGAAGACAGAGGCAAAUUGUGAGCUACAGAAGGAAAAGAGGCAGUUAGGAGGAGAAUAGACAUGUGAAGCCAAAGUGUAAAAAUGAGAUGAUAUAUAAAGUGCCUAAACUAGCACCUGGAAUAUAGGAUUACAUAAUAUUCAAAUACAGUUAUUAACUAUAAAUCAGGGGGAAAAGUAAAAGAAAUGCCAGGUAUUCAAUAACUGCUUUUUUUGAGACGGAGUCUCACUCUGUCACCCAUGCUGGAGUGCAGUAGCUUAAUCUCGGCUCACUGCAACUUUCUGUGUUCAAGUUACUCUCCUGCCUCAACCUCCCAAAGUAGCUGGGAUUACAGGUGUGGGCCACCAUGACCAGCUAAUAUUUGUAUUUUUACUAAAGACUGGGUUUCACCAUGUUGGCCAUCUGGUCUUGAACUCCUGAUCUUAAAUGAUCCACCCACCUCGGCCUCCCAAAGUGCUGAGAUUACAGGCGUGAGCCACCACAUCCAGCUGAUAAUUGCUUAUGAAAUAAAUGUUCAGAUGUGAUGCAUAAAGUACAUUGGUUAUAUCAGUGUUCUGUGCUAAAUUAGCAGUGUAUAUUGCUAAUGUUAGCUCCCCCCACCACAUAGUUCUAUUUUUAUCUUAAUUUGAGGCUGUUAUUGUUUUAGAUCUAUUGUUAAGGCAGCAAGGAAUAUUCAGGAUGUAAUUUGGUUUCUCAUUUCCUGGCAACAAUCAUGUGAGAGGCAAAUGAGAGCCUUUUGCUGAAAGGCUUUUUAAAUCUGUAGUAAUGAGAACAAAUAUUAAGUAAUGUGCUUGUGGAUAAAUAGAAGUUGCAACGCUGUAAUUCAGUCUUCAUCUGAGGAAACCAAAGUUCAUUAUAAAACCAUAAUUACACUCGAAAUUCUUUACUGAGGCAAGGCUGGCUGAUGCCUGUAAUCUUAGCACUUUGAGAAGCUGAGGCAGGAGGAUCCUUUGAGCCCAGGAGUUCAAGACCAGCCUGGGCAACAUAGGGAGACCCUGUCUCUAUCUUGAAAAAAAAAAAAAAAGAUUCUGUACUGAAAUGUGGUGCAAGGUUGGAACACUAACUGCAUGGGAAAGUUGCAGGCAAUGCCUGAGUUUCCCUGUGCAGGUUAUGAAAUACGCAACCAAUUAAAAAUUACUGUAAAGCACUCCUCAAGCAUAAAUAUCAGCAUUCUGAAAAAUGAAGGGGACUGAAGGUGGCGAGUGCCAGGAUAUUUUUCUUCUCUGAGGGGAAAAAGAGAUACGGCAAAAGAUGCCAAUUUAACAAUAAGAGGCCUAGUGUGGUUCGUGCAGGACUGUCCACAGGUGUUUGGCAGUAUAAGUGGGCAUUUCAUCACCCACCUGCCAGUUGUCGUACCUAGCAUCACCCCUCCAGGUCAACAUUUGCCUUCCCCGACUCAAGUCUGCCAAAAACACAUUCAUGCUACUAUUGUUAUUCCUUCUCAGGUCAAAUCUUAUCAGUUUAUUUGCCUGGGACCUGGGGCCUGGGUAGUAAGGUGGGAUGACCUUACUCCUUGACCCAGGAGGUCAAGGCUGAAGUGAGCCAUGAUAGUGCCACUGCACUCCAGCCUAGGUGACAGAGUGAGACUGUGUCUCAAAAAAUAAAAAUAAAAAUGGACAGAUACUUCUAAAUAGUCAAAUUGCCAUCUUCUUUUUUUUUUUUUUUGGAGACGGAGUCUCACUGUGUUGCCAGGUUGGAGUGCAGUAGUGCGAUCUCAGCUCACUACAACCUCCAGCUCCUCGAUUGAAGCAAUUUUCUGCCUCAGCAUCCCCAGUAGCUGGGACUACAGGUGCGCGCCAUCACACCCUGCUAAUUUUUGUAUUUUUAGUAGAGAUGGGAUUUCACCAUGUUGGCCAGGAUGGUCUCAAUCUCUCUCUCUCUUUUUUUUUUUUUUUUUGUCAAAUCACCUGAGGCAGGCGGACUGAGUCCAAAAAUGGAGUCAGCCUGGUCUCGAUAUCUUGACCUUAUUAACCGCCCGCCUUAGCCUCCCAAAGUGCUGGGAUUAGAGGUGUGAGCCACCAUGCCCAGCCCUAAAUUGUCUUCUAUUAAUGGUAAUCAUAAACCAGUGUACACUCCCACUAAAAAUAUAUGAGAAUGCCUAUUAUCCUAAACCAAAUAUCAGAACCGUUGAUGUUUACCAUCUAAGCUAAAAUAGCAUAUUUUUGUAGUUUAGUGUGCAUUUCUUAUAUUAUGAAGGAGACUGGGAAUCUUUUCCAGAAUUUGGGGAGGUAGGUGUAUAAAUGAAUACAAUACAAAAAUACUGUGACAAAGAUUUUUCUAUGGUGCUCUUGGUUAGGAAGGUCAAAGAAAGUCCCGCAGAGGAAGUGGCAUUUGAUCUAGGUCCUGCAGGACGAGUUGGAAUUCCGACAUAGAGCUUAUUGAUCCUGGUAUGUAGUCAGCUAAAUGUUCAACAGCUAUACAUUGGCUUAUGUGAUGAAAUUAGCCAGGUGCAGCGUCCCACGCCUGUAAUAACAGCACUGUGGGAAGCUGAGGUGGGAGGACCACUUGACUGCAGGAGUUCAAGACCAGGCUAGGUAACACAGGGAGACCUCAUCUCUCCAAAAGAUACAAAAAUUAGCUGGGUGUGAGGCAGAGCCUUCGGUGAGCCAAGAUCACGCCAUUGCACUUCAGCUUGGGCAACAAGAGUGAAACUCUGUCCCCCCCCAAAAAAAAUUAGCUAGGCAUGGUGGUGAGCACAUGUAAGUCCCAACUACUCUGGAGGUUGAGGCAAGAGGAUGACUUGAGCCCAGGAACUUGAGGCAGCAGUGAGCUGUGACUGUGUUGAUGCACUCCAACAUGGGGGACAGAGACUCUGUCUCAAAAAAAUAAAAAGAAAUGAUAAAAUUGAGAUGUUUGGGUUGAGGCGGGAGGAUUGCUUGAGUCCAAGAGUUCAAGGUUGCAGUGAGCUAUGCUAGCACCACUUCAUUCUAACCUGGGCUACACAGCAAGACCCUGUCUCUUUAAAUAAAUAAUACAUAAAUAAGAUGUAUAGUCAACAAGUUUUCUGGAUGGUUAAGGAGAUUUUUGGCUAUAUAUGGCAAGACACUGACACACAAAUACCAGUACAUAAUUAAACAAACCACUGGUGCGACUGGGUCACCCCUGGGGUACUAGGGCAGGAGCUUUAUAGUGUACAUCUGGUUUCUUCCACUUUCUGGAUGUUGAGCGACAUCUAAUGGCCAAAUAGGAAAAAGUCUAUAUUUUCAAUUUUCACUUUCUUCUCUCUUUUCUCAAGGUCUCACUCUGACACCCGGACUAGAGUGCAGUGGGACAGUCACAGCUCGCUGCAGCCUUGACCUCCUGGGUUCAAAUGAUUGCCCCACCUCAGCCUCCCGAGUAGAUGGGACUAUUGGAAUGUGCUACUAUGCCCAGCUAAUUUUUCUGUUUUUUGGCUGCCCAGGCUGGUUCAGUAUUUUAUUUUAUUUUACUUUAUUUUCUUAUUUUUUUUUUUGAGAUGGAGUCUCAUUCUGUCCCCAAGGCUGGAGUGCAGCACUACGAUCUCAGUUUACAGCCACCUCCGCCUCCGGGAUUCCAGCAAUUCUUCAGUCUCAGCCUCCUGAGUAGCUAGGUGCAGUGUCCCAUGCCUGUAAUAACAACACUGUGGGAAGCUGAGGUGGGAGGACCACUUGACUGCAGGAGUUCAAGACCAGGCUAGGUAACACAGGGAGACCUCAUCUCUCCAAAAGAUACAAAAAUUAGCCGGGUGUGAGGCGGAGCAUUCGGUGAGCCAAUGCACCACCAUGCCUGGCUAAUUUUUGUAUUUCUAGUAGAGACCGGGUUUCACCAUGUUGGCCUGGCUGGUCUCGAACUCCUGACCUCAUGAGCCGCUGUGCCCAGCCCAGUAUUUUCGUUUCUUUUCUUUUUUUAACCAGGUUUCUUCCCAAAUUCCUUUUUUACUUUUUUUCUUUUUUCUUUUUCUUUUUUUUCUUUUUUUUUUUUUUUGAGACGGAGUCUCGGUCUGUCGCCAGGCAGGAGUACAGUGGCACGAUCUCGGCUCACUGCAACCUCCGCCUCCUGGGUUCAAGUGAUUCUCCUGCCUCAGCCUCCUGAGUAGCUGGGACUACAGGUGCCUGCCACCACGCCCAGCUAAUUUUUAUAUUUUUAGUAGAGACGAGGUUUCACCAUGUUGGCCAGGAUGGGCUCGAUCUCUUGACCUUGUGAUCUGCCCGCCUCGGCCUCCCAAAGUGCUGGGAUUACAGGAGUGAACCACCGCGCCCAGCCCCAGUAUUUUUUUUUCAAAGAAAAUUCUCUUGUAGGAACAUAUACACAACCUUAAAAAAAUUUACCUCCAGAUUUAAGGAAAACUUGAGUCUUAUUUGUCCAUAAACCUAUAAGAAAACUGAAUAAAACGGAGGUAAGUUAAUUUUUUUUUUUUUUUUUUUUGAGACAGUUUCCCUCUUGUUGUCCAGCCUGGAGUGCAAUGGCAUCAUCUCGGCUCACUGCAACCUCUGCCUCCCUGGUUCAGGUUAUUGUCCUGCCUCAACCUCCUGAGUAGCUGAGAUUACAGGUGUGCACCACCACAUCCGGCUAAUUUUUGCAUUUUUAGAGAUGGGGUUUCACCAUGUUGGUCAGGCUGGUCUCAACCUCCUGACCUUAGGUGAUCCACCUUCCCUGUCCUUGCAAAGUGCUGCGAUUAUAGGUGUGAGCCACCGCCCUGGCCAGGGGUAAGUUAAUUUGUGUGGUAAUUUUCUUUUUUCUGAGACGGAGUUUCGCUCCUGUUACCCAGACUGGAGUGCAAUGGCGCGAUCUCGGCUCACCGCAACCUCCGCCUCCCAAGUUCAGGCAAUUCUCCUGCCUCAGCCUCCUGAAUAGCUGGGAUUACAGGCACGCACCACCGUGCCCAGCUAAUUUUUUGUAUUUUUAGUAGAGACGGGGUUUCACCAUGUUGACCAGGAUGGUGUCGAUCUCUUGACCUCGUGAUCCACCCACCUUGGCCUCCCAAAGUGCUGGAAUUACAGAUGUGAGCCACCGCGCCUGGCCCUAUGUGGUAAUUUUCAUUGAAUGAAAUAGAAAAAGAAGGAUGUUAGAAUUGGAAGAGACCUUAUAGCCAAUCUCUUCAUUUUGUCGACAAGGAAAUUUACGUCCAGAGAGAAAUGAUUUGUCCAAAGCCACACUGCUAGUGAGCUAUUAAUGCUCUAAUAUAGUUAUGAUUUUGCUACAAUGAAGAGAGGAAUAGUGGAUAUUUACCCAUCCAUUUGCAAAGAAAAAAAAAGACAAAUACUUUCUGAUUACUUUAAAACCUUUUAAUUUAUAAUAUUGGUCAUGCAUAGAAUUUAAUAUGUAUAAUGCUCAAUACUAUAGUAGUUACCGGCCAUUAGGUUCUUGGCCUAGGGUAUUUGAUUUUUCAGACCAACAGUGGACAAAAACAGACAAAUUCCUAUGAUUGCCAGACUAUAUUUCAAAAGACCCAAGUAAAAUUUUGAUGUCUGUAAUCUGAGAGUUGCUUCUCUAAUAUUUCUCUUUGCCUCUUAUCUGACAGUAGGCAAAGUUGAGGUAGGAGAUGAGUAUCAAUCCACAUCAUUUAAUCAACCAAUACCUAAAAUGUAUCGAUCCCCUUUCAUAUGUUCAGCAUCAUAGGGAUUGUGGGGACACAGCGCUAUACAUAAUGGAGGACAAGUAAUGAUGAACUCACUUCUCCAACCUGUUGAGAGGAGUUAAAUCAAAAGCAGCUUUGAGGUAGAAGGGAAAUUACAACAGUACUAUAACCACUCUUGGAGAUCUAUUUAUUAAUUCAUUGAUAAGUAUUUGUUGAGUAUCUACUAUAUAUACCAGUGCUAUGGAUACAGCAGAGAUCCACACCCAAACUCUUGAUGAAGCUUAUAACUUGAUAACUAUAUACCAACAAUUGUGAUAAGUGCUACCAAAAAAAAGUACUGGCUGGGUGAAGUGGCUCAUGCCUGUAAUUCCAGCACUUUGGGCAGCUGAGGCGGGCGGAUCACCUGAGGUCAGGAGUUUGAGACCAGCCUGGCCAACAUGGUGAAACCCCAUCUCUACUAGAAAUACAAAAAUUAGCCAGGUGUUGUGGUGCAUGCCUGUAAUUCCAGCUACCUGAGAUGCUGAGGCAGGAGAAUCGCUUGAACCUGGGGAGUGGAGGUUACAGUAAGCUGAGAUUGCACCACUUCACUCUAGUCUCGGCAGAAAGAGCGAAACUCCAUCUCAAAAAAAAAAAAAAAAGUACUGGUGCCGUAAUUAUAAAAUAGCGGGUUUUUUUUAGUGUUUGCUAUGUACCAUGCACUAUUCUUAGCACUCGACACAGAUCUGUUAAUACCACAAUCCUAUAACAAAGUUUCUUAUCUCAUUUUUUUUUUGGUGCCUAAUCAAGGUUGCUACCAUCACCUUAUCUUGUUUUAUAGAUAAGAAAAUUGAGAAACAAGGUUUUUUAGUUUUUGAGAUGCAAUCUCACUCUGUCACCCAGGCUGGAGUCCAGUGGUGCAAUCUCAGCUCACUGCAACCUCCACCUCCAGGGUUCAAGCAAUUCUCCUGCCUCAGCCUCCUGAGCAGCUGAGACUACAGGUGCACGCCAACAUGCUGGCUAAUUUUUGUAUUUUUGGUAGAGACAGGGUUUCGCCAUAUUGCCCAGUCUGGUCUCAAACUCCUGACCUCAUGAUCCACCCCCCUCAGCUUCCCCAAGUGCUGGGAUUACCGUGAGCCACCACCACACCCAGCUGAGUGUUUUGUUUGUUUUUUAACUUGCUCAAGUUUACACAAAUUGGUAAAUGGCUAUGUGGCCUUGAGAAAAAGAGUAUAUCAGGAGGGUAUA